AUUGAACGCUAGCGGGAUGCUUUAUACAUGCAAGUCGAACGCGUGGCGGACGGGUGUGUAAUAUAUCGGACCGUGCCCAGUAGCGGGGGUUAACUCCGCGAACGGGUGGCUAAUACCGCUAACCAUUGGCGCGGCCGUUAUCGCAUUAGCUAGUUGGUGGGGUAAAGGCUCACCAAGGCAACGAUCCGUAGCUGGUUUGAGAGGUCGAUCAGCCACACUGGAACUGAGACACGGCCCAGACUCCUACGGGAGGCAGCAGUGGGGAAUUUUGGACAAUGGGGGAAACCCUGAUCCAGCCAUGCCGCGUGUAUGAGAAGGCCUUCGGGUCGUAAAGUACUUUUGGUAGAGAAGCGGUAUCUAAAGAAAAAGCCACGGCUAACUACGUGCCAGCAGCCGCGGUAAUAC
rnacentral:rRNA from 1 species